UACGUAGGGUGCGAGCGUUGUCCGGAAUUAUUGGGCGUAAAGAGCGCGCAGGUGGUUAAUUAAGUCUGAUGUGAAAGCCCACGGCUUAACCGUGGAGGGUCAUUGGAAACUGGUUAACUUGAGUGCAGAAGAGGGAAGUGGAAUUCCAUGUGUAGCGGUGAAAUGCGUAGAGAUAUGGAGGAACACCAGUGGCGAAGGCGGCUUCCUGGUCUGUAACUGACACUGAGGCGCGAAAGCGUGGGGAGCGAACAGG
rnacentral:rRNA from 1 species